rnacentral:rRNA from 1 species
AUGUAUGAAGUGAAAAAAGCCUGCAUCAUUGCCCGUGCAGGAGAGGAAGUCCUUGAAUUCUUACUCCUUAUGCCUGAUGAUGAAUUACCUAUCUUGGGCUCCCGAAAUGCAGGGGAACUAAUCGUUAUAGCUGCUUGGUAUUUAUGGUGGAAUAGACGGAAACUAGUCCAUGAGGGUAAGUCUCAAGAGGCGUCUCAAACCUCCAUGGGGAUUAGGGCUGUAACAGCAAAUUAUGUAAAUGCCCACUCACCUAAAGCAAAGAGAAAGAAUGAAGGAUGGCGCAGACCUCCCAUGAGGUUUGUUAAAUUGAAUGUGGAUGCUUCUUUUGAUCAUGAUCAGCUACGGGGCACAGCGGGGGCUGUUAUCAGAGAUGACAGAGGAAAUUUCAUAGUAGGUGGUAACUAG